ensembl:lncRNA
ACCAACCACACCCAAAGCUCCCAAGAGCAAAGAGAAGGAAAAAGAGAAGGAAAAAGUAAAGGAAAAAGAGAAAGAAAAAGAGAAAGACAAACAUACAUCCAAGAUUACAUAUGGAGCUGCUCAGCGACCUCUGCUCUACCACUGAGAUAUUCCUCUGUAGUGGGAGAGUUUGGAUGAGAGUAAGCCCCACUGGAUGCUGCGUGUGGUCAGUGAACAGUCAGAGGUGGAAAAGAUUGAGGUGGAAAAGGACACUGAGAGACUAGAGCAAAUUAAGGCAAUAAAACUGGCCUGGGAAGCUGCAGAGCCUGGCAGAGCAGCUAAGGCUUUUCAAACCCGUCAGCAGUACCUGAACAAUCUGAGGACGCUCGGAGAAGACUACACCCUGGACCUCACACCUUUCAUCAGGAGGACCGGCAGGCCAGAGCGUCUAAAGGAUGCAGUGAUGGAGGAGGAACAGCAGAGGGAGCGGUUGGAGAAGAUCCAGAGCUUUCGGCUGUACCGAGAGACCGUGCUGGAUCGCCGUAGGCAGGAGCAUGAGCAGACCAAGCAGCUGAUAAGGGAACAACGAGAGCUGUUUAUAAGAAUUCAGGAGGAGAAAGCUGAGCUGCUCCGGAAGUUCGAUCAGACUCGAGCGAUUAUUCGAAGGUGGAGGAGCAGUCUCGAAAGAAAGGAGAAGAGUCUCCGAAAAUAGAAGGAGUUUCUACUUAUUGAACCUUUAAAGUGUAAAACACUGAUAAGAACACAAUACAUACAGUGCAUCCGGAAAGUAUUCACAGCACUUCACUUUUGUUAUGUUACAGCCUUAUUCCAAAAUGGAUUCAAUUCAUUAUUUUCCUCAAAAUUCUACAAACAAUACCCCAUAAUGACAAUGUGAAAGAAGUUCGUUUGAAAUCUUUGCAAAUUUAUUAAAAAUAAAAAACAAAAAAAGCACAUGUACAUAAGUAUUCACAGCCUUUGUUCAAUACUUUGUUGAAGCACCUUUGGCACUAAUUACAGCCUCAAGUCUUUUUGAGUAUGAUACUACAAGCUUGGCACACCUAUUUUUG